rnacentral:lncRNA from 1 species
AGAGUCGUGGGGAUUUUACGGGUGGAGUUACUCCGAAACCUUUAAGGCCGAGUGUGAUAGGUAGUUCAAAGCUUCCUGUUUCUUCAGUCUGACAGCUUCAAAUGUCCCGGGUUGUGCUCAAAGCCUCCCUCUUGUGAGAAGAAUCUCUUUGGUUGCCUGUUAAAGCGGUCAGCCAGCUUGCAACACGGAAGCAGCUUUUAGAGGAAUUAAAACCAAAACAAGGAGCAAAUUCUGGAUUAAAAAGAUAUUUGCAACCAUUCUUCCAAUCAAUUUUAGAAAAUUUCCACCACCUCAAAAAGAAAUCCUGAUGAAGAAACAUCCUGAGAAGGUUGACAUGCUGAAUGCCUUAAAGAACUUCAAUUGGGAUGCCAGAUGAAAGUGUAACUAGAAUUUCUAUGGCUUAAAUAACGAGAUCCAAGGAGAUUUCUGAGAAGUCCUACUUGGGAUGAAAAGAUGGACUUACAUAAUAAAAUAUAAUUUAUAAAGAUAAUUUGAACAUAAAGUAGAUCACAAAACUAUCUUUCCUAGAGUUGGAAGAUGAAUUUGGUAAGUCUGACGUGUGGAUAAAAAUUAUAUAUCACAUAUUUCUUAGAAAUCAGAGUAGAUAUCAGUGUUCUUUCUGAUUAGUCCAGAUAAUUAGGAAAGAAGUAGAGGGAGAAAAACUCUAGAAGUAAGAAAGUUUGAUUUCAUGUGUAAUCAGAAGAAAUAUUCAAGUAAUUUAUCACUAAUU